rnacentral:rRNA from 1 species
UCAGGCCUACGGGGCGCAGCAGUAGGGAAUCUUCGGCAAUGGGGGCAACCCUGACCGAGCAACGCCGCGUGAGUGAAGAAGGCUUUCGGAUCGUAAAGCUCUGUUGUAAGAGAAGAACGUGUGUGAGAGUGGAAAGUUCACACAGCGACGGUAACUUACCAGAAAGGGACAGCUAACUACGUACCAGCAGCCGCGGUAAUACGUAGGUCCCGAGCGUUGUCCGGAUUUAUUGGGCGUAAAGCGAGCGCAGGUGGUUUAUUAAGUCUGGUGUAAAAGGAAGUGGCUCAACCAUUGUAUGCAUUGGA